rnacentral:miRNA from 1 species
GAGGGGACCGACCCCCAGUCGC